rnacentral:lncRNA from 1 species
CAUAGAGUCCCCCUUGAUACGGCUGUUCAGCAGACCAACUUUGUUGUAAAUAUUUAGAUAAAAAUGGGCUUUAGAGCAGCCACAUCUGAAGACCCACAAGGCUGAAUGUUAUACAGGCAAUCAGAAUCUGAUUGAAGAUAAACUCAUCCUAUUUGGGUCAGAGCAUUAGAAGAAAGAAAGAACUGACACUUCUCAACCUUCUCUAGUUGAAGACUCUCUUUGCUGUAACUACUUGAAGAGUUCAGCAGAAAUAUUUUACUGAAGAAUCCCUGAUCCUCCUUUAAGUAGCUCUAGAGAAUAUUCACUAAGUGUAAUGGGACACGUCUCUCUCAUGCCUACUUCUUUUCUCUUAUCCCUGCAAGAAAGUGAAGUUUUGUUGGAGUCAGA